rnacentral:rRNA from 1 species
UACAGAGGUCUCAAGCGUUGUUCGCAAUCACUGGGCGUAAAGGGUGCGUAGGCUGCACGGUAAGUCAGAGGUGAAAUCCCGGAGCUCAACUUCGGAAUUGCCUCCGAUACUGCCGUGCUUGAGGACUGGAGAGGAGAUUGGAAUUCACAGUGGAGCAGUGAAAUGCGUAGAUAUUGUGAGGAACACUAGUGGCGAAGGCGACUUCCUGGCCUGUUCUUGACGCUGAGGCGCGAAAGCUAGGGUAGCAAACGGG